rnacentral:rRNA from 1 species
AUACAGAGGGUGCGAGCGUUAAUCGGAAUUACUGGGCGUAAAGCGCGCGUAGGCGGCUUGGUCGGUCGGAUGUGAAAGCCCCGGGCUCAACCUGGGAAUGGCAUUCGAUACUGCCAGGCUAGAGUAUGGGAGAGGGAAGUGGAAUUUCCGGUGUAGCGGUGAAAUGCGUAGAUAUCGGAAGGAACACCAGUGGCGAAGGCGACUUCCUGGCCCAAUACUGACGCUGAGGUGCGAAAGCGUGGGGAGCGAACAGGAUUAGAAACCCUAGUAGUCC